GCGGGUAUAGCUCAGUUGGUAGAGCACCAGCCUUCCAAGCUGGGGGUCGCAAGUUCGAACCUUGUUGCCCGCUCCA
rnacentral:tRNA from 1 species